rnacentral:rRNA from 1 species
GACGAACGCUGGCGGCGUGCUUAACACAUGCAAGUCGAACGGUAAGGCCCUUCGGGGUACACGAGUGGCGAACGGGUGAGUAACACGUGGGUGAUCUGCCCUGCACUUCGGGAUAAGCCUGGGAAACUGGGUCUAAUACCGGAUAGGACUCCUGGCUUCAUGGUUGGGGGUGGAAAGCUUUUGCGGUGUGGGAUGGGCCCGCCGGCCUAUCAGCUUGUUGGUGGGGUAAUGGCCUACCAAGGCGACGACGGGUAGCCGGCCUGAGAGGGUGACCGGUCACACUGGGACUGAGAUACGACCCAGAAUCCUACGGGAGGCAGCAGUGGGGAAUAUUGCCCAAUGGGAGCAAGCAUGAUGCGGCGACUCCGCGUGCGGGAUGACGGCCUUCGGGUUGUAAACCUCUUUCAGCUAUGACGAAGCGCAAGUGACGGUAGUAGCAGAAGAAGGACCGGCCAACUACGUGCCAGCCGCCGCCGUAA